GACGAACGCUGGCGGCGUGCCUAAUACAUGCAAGUCGAGCGCAGGAAACUGACGGAACUCUUCGGAGGGAAGGCAGUGGAAUGAGCGGCGGACGGGUGAGUAACACGUAAGGAACCUGCCUCAAGGAUUGGGAUAACUCCGAGAAAUCGGAGCUAAUACCGGAUAGUUCAACGGACCGCAUGGUCCGCUGAUGAAAGGCGCUUCGGCGUCACCUUGAGAUGGCCUUGCGGUGCAUUAGCUAGUUGGUGGGGUAACGGCCCACCAAGGCGACGAGGCAUAGCCGACCUGGGAGGGUGAGCGGCCACACUGGUACUGAGACACGGCCCAGACUCCUACGGGAGGCAGCAGUAGGGAAUCUUCCACAAUGGACGAAAGUCUGAUGGAGCAACGCCGCGUGAGUGAUGAAGGUUUUCGGAUCGUAAAACUCUGUUGUAAGGGAAGAACACGUACGAGAGGGAAUGCUCGUACCUUGACGGUACCUUACGAGAAAGCCACGGCUAACUACGUGCCAGCCGCCGCCGUAA
rnacentral:rRNA from 1 species